rnacentral:rRNA from 1 species
CAUUUUUUAUUUUUAUUUUUUUUAAAUAAGGCCUGCCCACUGAAUUAUUUAAAGGGCCGCAGUAUACUGACUGUGCUAAGGUAGCAUAAUAAUUUGCCCCUUAAUUAGGGGAUUGGAUGAAUGGCCUAACAGUUUAAUUUUUUUUUAUUAAUAGCAUUCUUGAACUUAUUAUUUUAGUAAAAAUACUUAAUUAAUUCUUGAAGACGAUAAGACCCUAUAGAUCUUUAUUUUUUUUUAUUUUUAAAUUAUUAGAUUUGUAUUUUAAUUAAAAUAUAAUUAUUUUGCUGGGGUAGUAGGAGAAUAAUAUAAUUUUCUCUAGAGUUUAAUUUUUUUUUAUUAAGUUUAUCUAUUUUUUUAAUCUAAAAAGUUACCUUAGGGAUAACAGCGUAAUAUUUUUGGUGAGUUCAUAUCGAUAAAGUAUCUUGCGACCUCGAUGUUGAAUUAAGAUUAUUUUUUAAAGCAGUCUUUACAUUUGUAGUCUGUUCGACUAUUAAAUUCUUACAUGAUUUGA